UACGUAGGUGGCAAGCGUUAUCCGGAAUUAUUGGGCGUAAAGAGUGGGCAGGCGGCAGAUUAAGUUUGAGGUUAAAGCGUGGGGCUCAACCCCAUAAAGCCUUGGAAACUGAUCAGCUAGAGUACGAGAGAUGUGAAGGGAACUCCAUGUGUAGCGGUGAAAUGCGUAGAUAUAUGGAAGAACACCAGUGGCGAAGGCGCUUCACAAGCUCGAAACUGACGCUCAGUCACGAAAGCGUGGGUAGCAAAUAGGAUUAGAUACCCUAGUAGUCCACGCUGUAAACUAUGAGAACUAAAUAUUGCCGCGAGGCAGUGUUGAAGCUAACGCAUUAAGUUCUCCGCCUGGGGAGUACGGUCGCAAGACUGAA
rnacentral:rRNA from 1 species